AGUGAACGCUGGCGGUAGGCCUAACACAUGCAAGUCGAACGGCAGCACAGUAAGAGCUUGCUCUUACGGGUGGCGAGUGGCGGACGGGUGAGGAAUACAUCGGAAUCUACUUUUUCGUGGGGGAUAACGUAGGGAAACUUACGCUAAUACCGCAUACGACCUACGGGUGAAAGCAGGGGAUCUUCGGACCUUGCGCGAUUGAAUGAGCCGAUGUCGGAUUAGCUAGUUGGCGGGGUAAAGGCCCACCAAGGCGACGAUCCGUAGCUGGUCUGAGAGGAUGGUCAGCCACACGGGAACUGAGACACGGUCAAGACUCCUACGGGAGGCAGCAGUGGGGAAUAUUGGACAAUGGGCGCAAGCCUGAUCCAGCCAGACCGCGUGGGUGAAGAAGGCCUUCGGGUUGUAAAGCCCUUUUGUUGGGAAAGAAAAGCAGCAGGUUAAUACCCCGCUGUUCUGACGGUACCCAAAGAAUAAGCACCGGCUAACUUCGUG
rnacentral:rRNA from 1 species